UGAUUCAUAGUUAAUUGGUGUGUUUG
rnacentral:piRNA from 1 species